rnacentral:rRNA from 1 species
UACGUAGGGUGCGAGCAUUGUCCGGAAUUAUUGGGCGUAAAGAGCUCGUAGGCGGCCUGUCACGUCGGAUGUGAAAGCCCGGGGCUUAACCCCGGGUCUGCAUUCGAUACGGGCAGGCUGGAGUUCGGUAGGGGAGAUCGGAAUUCCUGGUGUAGCGGUGAAAUGCGCAGAUAUCAGGAGGAACACCGGUGGCGAAGGCGGGUCUCUGGGCCGAUACUGACGCUGAGGAGCGAAAGCGUGGGGAGCGAACAGG